rnacentral:rRNA from 1 species
UACGGAGGGAGCUAGCGUUGUUCGGAAUUACUGGGCGUAAAGCGCACGUAGGCGGCUACUCAAGUCGGGGGUGAAAGCCCGGGGCUCAACCCCGGAACUGCCUUCGAAACUAGGUAGCUAGAAUCUUGGAGAGGUCAGUGGAAUUCCGAGUGUAGAGGUGAAAUUCGUAGAUAUUCGGAAGAACACCAGUGGCGAAGGCGACUGACUGGACAAGUAUUGACGCUGAGGUGCGAAAGCGUGGGGAGCAAACAGG